CCCGCUGAACUUAAGCAUAUUAAUAAGGGGAGGAGAAGAAACUAACUAGGAUUCCCUUAGUAACUGCGAGUGAAACGGGAAGAGCUCAACCUUGAAAUCGCUGUGUGGUUCGUAUAGCGAGUUGUGGGUUCUGGAGACACGCUCAGCAUGUGGCCCUGCUCUAAGUCUGCUGGGAGGCAGCUGUCAUAGAGGGUGAGAACCCCGUCUUGGGGUGGGAGUCCGCAGCGUACGAGUUGUCUUCGCAGAGUCGGGUUGCUUGGGAGUGCAGCCUUAAGCGGGAGGUGAAUUCCUUCUAAAGCUAAAUACGUGUGGUAGACCGAUAGCGCACAAGUACCGUAAGGGAAAGGUGAAAAGGACUUUGAAAAGAGAGUCAAAAGUACUUGAAAUUGCUUAUAGUCAAGGGAUGGAAACUAUUGGAUCGAGUCGUCGUAUGACUCUUGGUUGUCGGUCGAGACGGUGGGAGUGUCUGUUGCUACAUGUGGCGGUGCUCUUGCUGAGUAGACCAACGGAAAGGGGGCUUAGCGGCGAUAGAUGUCAGGAUGAGUUUUCGGCGUGGGACAAGGGCUGCGAAGAGGUAAGGGAUGAGGUCCCUGAGCACUCGCGGCAGAUACCAGGCUGGGGACUGAGGAAAGAUGCUGACGAAAUGGUUUUCAUUCGCCCGUCUUGAAACACGG
rnacentral:rRNA from 1 species